rnacentral:rRNA from 1 species
CCUACGGGGGUCAGCAGUGGGGAAUAUUGCACAAUGGGGGAAACCCUGAUGCAGCGACGCCGCGUGAGUGAAGAAGUAUCUCGGUACGUAAAGCUCUGUCAGAAGGGAAGAAAAUGACGGUACCUGACUAAGAAGCCCCGGCUAACUACGUGCCAGCAGCCGCGGUCAUACGUAGGGGGCAAGCGUUAUCCGGAUUUACUGGGUGUAAAGGGAGCGUAGACGGCAGCACAAGUCUGGAGUUAAAUCCCGGGGCUUAACCCCGGAACUGCUUUGGAAACUGUUCGGCGGGAGUGCAGGAGGGGUAAGCUGAAGUGCUAGGGUAGCGGUGAAAUGCGUAGAUAUUAGGAGGAACACCGGUGGCGAAGGCGGCUUACUGGACUGUAACUGACGUUGAGGCUCGAAAGCGUGGGGAGCAAACAGGAUUAGAUACCCCGGUAGUC